CGUUUUUUAACUGACUUUCCAGCGGGUUAACCAGCAACGUGUUGUUAUUCAACGCCACUUCACCUUUGGCAGUGACCUGUUCACCAUCCAGCGGGAUAUCUAAGUGUAAGCGCCCACUGACUUUUCCUCCGACCUGCAACUCAUCCAGCGCGGCCCCCACGGAAUCAUCCAGCGGCGUUUGUUCGAAAUAGUCAUGCACGUCCUGACCGUCACCUGACACAUCGGCAUCAAUAAACAACCGUUCCUUCUGGUAGUCAGGAAUGAUGGCACUGAUAUUACUGCCAGUAACCUUACCCAAUAAGGUCUGCGGCGCCUUCAUCCACAGGCCAUCGUUAACGAAAUUCAGAUCGAUGGCCAGAUCGUUCAGCGCAGGCCAGUCCGGCUGAAACUGGAAGGUGGCGUGGCGCAGCGGUACA
rnacentral:ncRNA from 1 species